rnacentral:lncRNA from 1 species
AAAAGAUUAAUUAAACAGAUCAUUCAUCAUUUAUAAAAAGAAUAAGCAAUUCAAAAUCACUAACAUAAAUGUAUUAAUUAAAACUUCAAGGAGUAAUAGUUUACAUCAAUUCAACAGAAGGAAAAUAAUUAUGAUAAAUCCUAGAAAUAAUAUUCAAUGAGCACUUGCAUGAUGGCUUUGCUAUUUCCAUCUGGUGAUCUUGUAUUUUUAGGUGUUGGGACGCUAUUUCUUAUAUCCAGUACCUAUAACAUAAAUUGAAACAACAAGCAAUAAGUAACUCCAAGGAUUAAAGUAGAAAACCAAUAUAAUAAAUACAUUAAAUACUGUAAUGACCCGAUAGGUCAUCUUAUAUUUUAGAACUUAAUUCUGCGCUUUGAAGCUUUAAAUACCUCAUCUUAACCCUCCUCGAUUUGCGUGCGCAGUCCGAAUAUUUUUUCGAAAAGCUUUUAUGUUAAAAAAUCUGAGAAAAUAUGAAAUUUUUACCUUCAUAUCCAUUUGAGUUGAUUUCGGUCAACGUUUUGAGCAAAUGAACCCAGAUCCGUAUUUUGACGAUCCCGUGGGUCCGUAUCGUGAUUUGGGACUUGGGCGUAUGUCCGAAAUCGAAUUCGGAAGUCCCUAACGCGAGUUAUCGGAGUUUGUUGAAAUUUAAAAGUUUGAAAGCUUAAUGACUUUGAAAAUUUGACCAAUGUUUGACUUUAUUGAUAUCGGGUCCGUAUUUUGGUUCCGGAACCCGGUAUAGGUCCAAUACUACAUUUAUGACUUAUCUGUUAAAUGUGGUGUGAAACGGAGUUGGUUUGACGUGAUUCGGACGUCCUGUUGUUAAUAUAGCAAUUCUAAAGUUUCUUGAAAAUUUAAUUUGAUUUUGGUGUCUGAUUCAUAGUUCUAGGUGUUAUUUUGGCGAUUUGAUCGCGCGAGCAAGUUCAUAUGAUAUUUUUAGACUUGUGUGCAUAUUUGGUUUGGAGCCCCGAGGGCUCGGGUGAGUUUCGGAUAGGCUACGGAGUAGUUUGGACUUAGAAAACUCAGCUGGUUCUGCAAUUUCUUGUAACUGGUGUCUAAUCUCGCAAUUGCGAGAUCAGUAAUCGCAUUUGCGAACAUUCCCCAAUCCUGAUAGGCUCGCAUUUGCGAAGAGUACCUGGGUCAGCAUGAGUUCGCAUUUGCGAUCAAGAGGUCGCAAUUGCGGGGAGGCCAAAGUUCGCAUUUGCGAACAAUACUUCGCAUUUGCGAAGUGGGGCUGGGGCAGGCUUGGUCGCAUUUGCGAUCAAUUUGGUCGCAAAUGCGGAAGAUCAAUGUUCGCAUUUGCGAACAAGUCAUCGCAAAUGCGAUGAAAGCAAAGAUAGGAGGCCUUCGCUUUUGCGAAUGUUUCUUCGCAUUUGCGGGGCUUGCAUUUCCGAACCCCAAGUCGCAAAUGCGACAUCUGCGACUGAUUAAAUAGUUGAGAAAUGCGAUUUUUGUUCAUUCUCUCAUAUUUUUACACUUAGAAACCCUAGAGGCGAUUUUUCCAAGAGCACUUCUUCCCCAAAUCAUUGGUAAGUGAUUCUAACCUAUUUUCUUACAAUCUUUCAUUACAUUUCCUAAGAUUUCAACCUAAAAUCUAGUGUUUUCAUAGUGAAAAUUGGGGGUUUGGGUAGAAUUAGGGAUUUUUGUAAAAUUGGGAAUUAGACCUCAAAUUAAGAUCGGAUUCCAAAACAAAUUACAUAACCAGGCUCGAGGGUGAAUGGGUAAUCGAGUUUUGGUCCGAAUUUCGGGUUUGGACCAAGCGGGCCCGGAAGUUGACGUUUGUUGACUUUUUCAAUAAUGACCUAAAUUGAAUCCUUUACAAUCGUGGAUAGUUCCUAAGACUUAAUUUGAAUCGUUUGGUUGGUAAUUUGCUUGAUUCUAUUGGUUCGGAGGCUUGUUUGAAAGGCAAAGAUGUGAUUGAGCUUUGAGUUGACCUUUGGAGCAAGGUAAGUGUCGUGGUUAACCUUGACUUGAGGGAUUAGGACUUGUUUGUCUAUAUGCUACAUGUUUAGAUAUUGGGUACAACGUAUAUGUGAGGUGAUGAGUACUUAUGCGUUGUUGUCGGGUUAAAGUAUGCAGGUGGGACUUGUUCCUUGCAAUUAUUGCUUACUUUGAUCAUGUUAUCCAUGCUUAGACUAGUUAUUCGUUAAAUUUAUUGUUCUUCUCGUGUUUAUGGGCUUUGUGAUAAUUGAGUAUUGAUUCUAAUGUUGAGACUGCUAUUGUGGAACUAUUGUUGAAGUCGGGCUUGUUCUUGCUGAUCCUAUCUCCCUAUUAUUAUUUGUUCAUUGUUAUGUGUAAGGAAGAGUGUUAAUGCACGAAGGGUGAUGUCGUGCCGUAUAUGAGUGUUAAUGCACGAAGAGUGAUGCCAUGCCAUAUUGUGAGUGUUAGUUCACGAAGGGUGAUGUCGUGCCAUGUUAUGAGAAUUAAUGCACGAAGGGUGAUGCCGUGUCGUAUCUACUGAUUUACACUGAGAGUGAGAGUAAAAGCACGAAGCGUGAUGCCGUGCAGAAUCAUUGUUUCAUUGUGAGGUUGAGAGUAAAAGCACGAAGGGUGAUGCCGUGCAAUUUUCUUCAUUAUGCUUAAUUGUUUUUAAUAGUUAAAGGCAUAUUGACUGUUCUGGUUAUCAUUUCCGCUGUAUCUCUCAUAUCUUGUAUCCCCUUAGCAUGUCCCCCUCUAAUAGUACGUGUUUAGCUUUUAUUUGUUGUUAUCUUGUAUAUAUACUGUUAUCUGCACAGGUUUAUUAUGUGGGUGUCUUGUCAUAGCCUUAUCACUACUUCGUCGAGGUUAGGCUCGACACUUACGAGUACAUGGGGUCGGUUGUACUCAUACUACACUCUACACUUCUUGUGCAGACUUUGGUACCAGCCCUAGCUGUUCGUGAGGCGUAGCAGCUUAGAUUUGCUCAUUGUAGACUCGAGGUAGAUAUGCUGGCGUCCGCAAACCUUGGAGUCCCCUUCUAUUUUCCCUAUUUUACUGUUUCUUUUCGUUCAAAACAGUUAUAUUUCUUUCAGACUCUGUUUGUAGAAAAUCUUAGAAACUCGUGAGUUGUGACUCAAGAUCCGGAUUGUAGUAGAUAUUAUGGGCAUUUAUGUUAUUCCGCACUCGAUUUUGUUUCAUUUUGGCUUAAUUGACUUUAUUUGUUGAAACCGAAUAGCAAUUGACUUAACGGUUCUCUAACGUUGGCUUUCCUAGCAAGUGAAAUAUUAGGCGCCAUCAUGGUCCCAAAGGUAAAAAUUUCGGGUCGUAACAAAUACAAUGCAUUUAUAUUUUUACAAUAGCUGAAAUUUCCUUGACUGCAACUGAAAAUAAGACUAUAUUUGCUCACAAAACGCCCUUACUUAUAAAAGGAGAAAUUAUGUUCAAUAUACUGUAGAACAUUCAGAAUGCGCUUGGUUGAUGAAAAAAGAAAAAACACUUCAGGCUUCAAGUAACUCAAGGAUCACGGUAUGAACCAAUAUAAUAUAUAUUGGUUUAAAUAAUAGAUCUUCAUUUUCACAAUAGCUGAAAUUCAAUAGGUAUAUAACACUAGUGAGAAUAAUCUGAGUUUCAAUACCUCAAAUAGAAAGAAGAAUGCUUUCAAUUUGUGCCAUAGCUGAGUUUCAUUAUGAUCACACCUGUAGCAAAAUAAAUUAAAGAAAAAACUUAUUCAGCUCAAUUGGACUGAGGCAUACAUAAGAUUAAGAUCAGUACGCAAUACACAUACAAUAAAAAGGAAACAUAGUAUAGGAAGGAGAACCUAUUCACCUUGGAGCACAAACACAAAUGAGACUCGCCAAGCUUCCACAAGACCCUGCACAGCCUUGCUGACUGCAUUCCCAACAUUAUCUGCAAAUUCAACUAAUUUUGAAUUCACAAUUUUACAGCGUGCCAAGUUUGCAUAGUUAAAAAAACCAACAAAAGCGAUAUUAAUCCCAUAAAAACACCCCAAAAUGAGUAAAACAUUAUCCCACAGGUAGGUACGUAAAAAGAGAAAACAACUUCGAGUCCUCCUUUCAUCAAGUCUAAAUUGAUUAUCCCUUAAUAAUUAAUCAAUGUUAAUACGCAUGAUCAACAUUUACUACCAUCUUCAAACAUUAGCUAAGACAAAAAUGUCAACAAUUUAAUUUUUUCACUGAAGCAUAUUAUCGAACACUCUAACACUACAUUUUACAAAUGCAAGAAUAAGAUGUGUUGCAACAAUUGUAGAGAAGACUAUAAUGGUUUAGGACAACUAUAUCCUUUAAUAGUUUUCUGAGAUAAUUUCUCGAUUUGUGCGUAUGAUCUUUCACGCAAGGGCGAUGCUAAUCUUCUCUGUAUCAUUCCUCAAAGGGACAUGUAUCCUUCAAUAGGUGUGUACUCUAAGCUUUGGUCCCAAGAGUUUACUUUGAACUUGUUGCUAGGAAAUGUCUUCAAAAUGCUGUUAUAAGGUGCUGAUGUGGUGCCUAACUGCUAGGAUUUUGUAGUGUUUUACUUUCCAAUUGAACAAUUACUAUUAUGAACUAAAUUAAAUAGUAGUACAACAGCAAAGUUUGUAGAUUACAGGAACUUAGGCUCUAACUUUAGUAAUCUAACUCUGAUUCUCUUUGUAUUAAAUUCAUUUUGAGAUAGUCCAAUGUGCUUGAGAAGAGGCUUUUUAAGUACAUAGUGCUCAAUGCAGUUUGGCUUCUACUCUGAAAUUGCAGUAUGCACUGAGUUUCACCUCAACAGAACAUGGGAGAGUGAGGUUGGGGAUAAAUUGGCUAUUAAGUGGGAAAUACUUGUGAUAAAAGAAUUAAUCUAAUUAGCCGCUCACUCAACUUCUUAAAUUAUAAAUAGUCGAUAGAUAUAUAAUAUAUGUAUACUCUAUGUAUAAACAUGUAUAAAUAGUAGAUAGCUAAUAGAGAUAGAUGACUAAUCACUACUAUAUCAUUCCAAAUGAUACUACAAUUAAUUCAGGUAGACUAAUUAUUCUUCAACUAGCAGUUCCAUAGCUCGCAUAAGAAUUUAUAGCAGUAAAUGACAAUAAAACACUACUCCACACAACUCUUGAUUUAAUCAAUCAACUACGCCUCAAUCCUAAACUAGUUAGGGCCACUAUGCCAUCCUUGUACGCAUUCUACAAAUAUAACCUUAAACACCCAAAACUAAGGAUCCUCGCAUCCCUACCCUAACUGACCAAAAGAACUUCUAACAAAUUUCAAUCAUAGAAAAGUCAGUUCCUUACCACACUGGAUACACAAAAUCUCUUAAAAAUAAAGCUAAGAACAGAUCUAACAACUAAAGUGACGAAACAUUGCAUAACCACAAAGAAACCGUAGAUCCACACAGAUACCUACACGCACAUAAGCAAAAAGGAUAGGAAAUAGAAAGUCCUGGCUGAAAUUUCUUUGGAAUUGGGAGUUGCCAUCAACAAAGGCGGAUGGAGAUUAGCGAACUCCUUCGCGAGCUUCAUCGGAGACCUGGCGAGAAGAGGAGACGGAAAGGAGAGGAGAGGGAGUCGCCGACUACGACGAUCUAGUGAAUGUCGCCGAUGAUUUGUGCCAUAUUUGGUGGGAGGGAGAGGGAGAGAGAUAAAAUGCAGAGACUAGGGUUUGCUUGUGCCGGAGAGUGAGAGGUAAUUCUAAUUUGUGAGUUUACAUAGCUUUGCAUUUUGAAAUAAACCAAAAGAUAUUUUAAAAUUAAAGUAAUAAAUAAGGCGGCUUUCACCGCCGCAAAUACAGAUUAAAACGCCACUAUACAAAUUCGUAAUAUGGCG